UUGGAACAUGUAUUUUAUAUUACAAAAGGAAAGACCUCUCAAUUGUUCAAGAACAAUUGACAUUUUAAUUAUUAUUCUUCUUGUUCCGCCAAACUUUGACAAAAUUUCCCUCCGUAACCGUAAACCAUGUCGCUUUCAUGUUCACACUUUGUAUUGGUGUCAUGAAUACCUAUCCGGAACUCACCCUGUGAGUCGAAAUAUUUUGUCGGUUCGGAGUAAUCCCUCCGAAACCCAAAAACCUUGUUAUCGUUCCAACACCGUAACCGUAAUAGGUAGAAAAAAAAUUGAAGGGUGAAAUUUGUUCAGGACCAGACCCCGGUUCUUCGUUACAUUUGGAUCGAAAAGAUUCAACGACUCAUUGGUAGGGUUAUGCCCCUAUGAAAAU
rnacentral:lncRNA from 1 species